GGCGACCAUAGCGUUUUGGACCCACCUGAACCCAUUCCGAACUCAGAAGUGAAACGAAAUAGCGUCGAUGGUAGUGUGGGGUUUCCCCAUGUGAGAGUAGAACAUCGCCAGGC
rnacentral:rRNA from 1 species